rnacentral:rRNA from 1 species
GACGAACGCUGGCGGCGUGCUUAACACAUGCAAGUGGAGCGACGAACCGGGGGCUUGCCCCGGGGCAGAGCCGCGAACGGGUGAGUAACACGUGGGUAACCCACCCCGAUGACCGGGACAACCCGAGGAAACUCGGGCUAAUACCGGAUGUGCUCCUUGACCUCGAGGUCAAGGCGUAAAGAUAGCUUCGGCCUUCGCAUCGGGACGGGCCCGCGGCCCAUUAGCUUGUUGGUGGGGUAACGGCCUACCAAGGCGACGAUGGGAGCUGGUCUGAGAGGACGAUCAGCCACACUGGGACUGAGACACGGCCCAGACUCCUACGGGAGGCAGCAGUGGGGAAUCUUGCGCAAUGCGCGAAAGCGUGACGCAGCAACGCCG